GAUGAACGCUGGCGGCGUGCCUAAUACAUGCAAGUCGAGCGAACAGACGAGGAGCUUGCUCCUCUGACGUUAGCGGCGGACGGGUGAGUAACACGUGGAUAACCUACCUAUAAGACUGGGAUAACUUCGGGAAACCGGAGCUAAUACCGGAUAAUAUAUUGAACCGCAUGGUUCAAUAGUGAAAGACGGUUUUGCUGUCACUUAUAGAUGGAUCCGCGCCGCAUUAGCUAGUUGGUAAGGUAACGGCUUACCAAGGCAACGAUGCGUAGCCGACCUGAGAGGGUGAUCGGCCACACUGGAACUGAGACACGUUCCAGACUCCUACGGGAGGCAGCAGUAGGGAAUCUUCCGCAAUGGGCGAAAGCCUUACGGAGCAACGCCGCGUGAGUGAUGAAGGUCUUCGGAUCGUAAAACUCUGUUAUUAGGGAAGAACAAAUGUGUAAGUAACUAUGCACGUCUUGACGGUACCUAAUCAGAAAGCCACGGCUAACUACGUG
rnacentral:rRNA from 1 species